rnacentral:rRNA from 1 species
GAUGAACGCUGGCGGCGUGCCUAAUACAUGCAAGUCGAGCGAACAGAUGAGGAGCUUGCUCCUCUGACGUUAGCGGCGGACGGGUGAGUAACACGUGGAUAACCUACCUAUAAGACUGGGAUAACUUCGGGAAACCGGAGCUAAUACCGGAUAAUAUAUUGAACCGCAUGGUUCAAUAGUGAAAGACGGUUUUGCUGUCACUUAUAGAUGGAUCCGCGCCGCAUUAGCUAGUUGGUAAGGUAACGGCUUACCAAGGCGACGAUGCGUAGCCGACCUGAGAGGGUGAUCGGCCACACUGGAACUGAGACACAGUCCAGACUCCUACGGGAGGCAGCAGUAGGGAAUCUUCCGCAAUGGGCGAAAGCCUGACGGAGCAACGCCGCGUGAGUGAUGAAGGUCUUCGGAUCGUAAAACUCUGUUAUUAGGGAAGAACAAAUGUGUAAGUAACUAUGCACGUCUUGACGGUACCUAAUCAGAAAGCCACGGCUAACUACGUG